rnacentral:rRNA from 1 species
UACGUAGGUGGCAAGCGUUGUCCGGAUUUACUGGGCGUAAAGAGCGCGCAGGCGGUCGAUCAAGUCGAGUGUGAAAGCCCCCGGCUCAACUGAGGAAGUGCAUCCGAAACUGGCAAGCUAGAGUAUGUAAGAGGGUCGCGGAAUUCCCGGUGUAGAGGUGAAAUUCGUAGAUAUCGGGAGGAACACCGGUGGCGAAGGCGGCGACCUGGGACAAUACUGACGCUGAGGUGCGAAAGCGUGGGGAGCAAACAGG